AAACAAUAGACUCAGGCCCAGGCCCAGCCGACUUAUAAAUAUUAAACUCAGAACAUCUUAGCUUCUCUUCUGAGAAUGACGCACGUUCAUCCAGAUAGGCUAUUCAGGCCGAGAUGGUAGUUACCCGCAAUACCAAGCGAUGGCUUGUCAAGUGAGGGAGGGUGACCGCUACGGUCCGUCCGACACAAAUUCGCCGGCUAACGAUAUGCUCUGAGGCCUUGUAGCGAUGCCUAGCAGCAAUAGUUGCUUAGAGCAUACUCAACCCAUCGUUCCCUAUGCAACCAGACGUGCAUGGUCGUCACCGCUAAUCAAAAUGGAUAUCGCUAGUGUCAAAAUGCAGCAAGAUCACAGGGAUGUGGAAAGCUUUGGUCUGCCUAAUAUCAUUUUGCCUCCGGAACUCAGUCUUCCUCUAGCCGGAUAUGAUAAAGCUGGUUAGAGAUCAGAACUAACUCGUUAAAGAGAAGGACGUUGUUGGAUUCUAAGCCCGGAGGGAAGCGCCACAGGAGGUUCUUCGAUAGCGGCGAUAUGGAUCACAAGAACCGAUAAAAGUAUCCAAAUGCCGUUCUUACACCCUCUACAAGUACUUUAUCAUAGCCUAUUAAAACGAGUACGUCCCGUUUUUCUUUGAAGCUUUUGUUAGCGUCGCGGAAGAACGGUUGGAUAUUCCUAAAUGAAAGUUCAGAUUUUGCCAGAAUUUGCCAGAUGAAGCCUUUUAUCAAGGCUUUCGUUGGAUCGAUCAUCGGAAAGAGGAGCUGGAGGCGCACGAGCGUGGGCGUUCAAAGCCAUGUUAUUACCACCUUUGCAACGCACGUACAUGCCCGAAAAAAUAUACUUUACGUUACGUGUAUGUCGAAGCCUUGUAUAAAGUACAGCAGCUUACUACCGCUGGAGUAACACAAAUAGGAAUCGGAACUUUAAAAGAAUAUCUUAUCCAUCCAAGGAAGUUGUAAGAGGCCCAAACACUGAACUUGCAUCUUAAAAUUUGGCAAGUAAAAAAAAAAAAGAAGAAAAGAUGCCUCCCAAGUAGAAACCAAAAAACAGAAAAGCAAAAAACAUUUGAAAACAAUCUCGUGUUUCACAGUUUGAACUGAGAUAAAAUAGGCGGCUUUGCCAUGCGAUCAGAAUACACGCUGUGCAUCCAUAGCUUUCCGGUUACUUACAAACUCGCGAAUCGCCGUAAGGACUAGAUGUGCUUAGUGGUCCGAUAGAUUGAAUAAAAAAGCUGAAAAGGUCCA